ACAUUUUAGAUAGAUUCUCUAUGUUUUGUCUUUAUUUUAGAGUUCUAGGACUUGUAUUAAGUCCACGGGAGUUUUGCAUAUUUGCAAUGAUAUUCAGGUGCUUUGGAGCUUAUUUGGAAUAGAAAAGAUUAUCGGCCAAAAAUCCUGAUCCAGUAAGCAGGAAUCGGCCAAAAUCGCGUACCAAAUGAUAUUCUCUGUCAGCCAAAAAUCACAUGUCGCGUUAAGGUUUU
rnacentral:lncRNA from 1 species